CCUAGAUGCUAUCCGGCAGAGCAAUCAGAUGCUGAGGGAACGCUGUGAGGAGCUGCUGCAUUUCCAGGUCAGCCAGCGGGAGGAGAAGGAGUUCCUCAUGUGCAAAUUCCAGGAAGCCAGGAAGCUGGUGGAGAGACUGAGCUUGGAGAAGCUUGACCUGCGGAGGCAGAGAGAACAGGCCUUAGAGGAUUUGGAGCAUCUGAAGAAAUGCCAACAGCAGAUGGCUGAGGACAAGGCCUCUGUGAAAGCUCAGGUGACAUCAUUGCUGGGGGAACUCCAGGAGAGCCAGAGUCGUUUGGAGGCUGCUACCAAGGAACGACAAACUUUAGAGGGAAGGAUUCGAGCAGUUAGUGAGCAGGUCAGACAGCUGGAGAGUGAGCGGGAGGUGCUGCAGCAGCAGCACAGUGUCCAGGUGGACCAACUGCGCAUGCAGAACCAGAGUGUGGAGGCUGCCUUGCGAAUGGAGCGACAGGCUGCUUCAGAGGAGAAGCGGAAGCUGGCUCAGUUGCAGGCAGCCUAUCACCAACUCUUCCAAGACUAUGACAGCCACAUUAAGAGCAGCAAGGGCAUGCAGCUGGAAGAUCUGAGGCAGCAGCUCCAGCAAGCUGAGGAGGCCCUGGUAGCCAAACAGGAAUUGAUUGAUAAGCUGAAAGAGGAAGCUGAGCAGCACAAGAUUGUCAUGGAGACCGUUCCAGUCUUGAAAGCCCAGGCGGACAUCUACAAGGCUGACUUCCAAGCUGAGAGGCAUGCCCGGGAGAAACUGGUGGAGAGGAAGGAGCUUUUGCAGGAGCAGUUGGAGCAGCUGCAGCGCGAGUUCAACAAGUUGAAAGUUGGCUGCCAUGAGUCAGCCAGGAUUGAGGAUAUGAGGAAGCGGCAUGUAGAGACUUCCCAGCCCCCUUUACUCCCUGCUCCAGCUCACCACUCCUUUCAUUUGGCCUUGUCCAACCAGCGGAGGAGCCCUCCUGAGGAACCACCUGACUUCUGUUGUCCCAAGUGCCAGUAUCAGGCUCCUGAUAUGGACACUCUACAGAUACAUGUCAUGGAGUGCAUAGAGUAG
rnacentral:lncRNA from 1 species